AUAAAAGAAAGAGGUUACGAAAGAGCGUAUAGUGGAUGCCUUGGUUGAGGCGAGCGAUGAAGGGCGUAGUUGGGUGCGAUAAGCUUCGGGGAGUUACCAAACAAACUGUGAUCCGGAGAUUUCCGAAUGGGGAAACCCUUCC
rnacentral:rRNA from 1 species